rnacentral:misc_RNA from 1 species
UCCGGUUUGUCACCGGCAGUCUCGCAUGAGUCCCCAACUAAAUGCUGGCAACAGGACACAAGGGUUGCGCUCGUUGCGGGACUUAACCCAACAUCUCACGACACGAGCUGACGACAGCCAUGCAGCACCUGUGCAAGCUCCCCUUGCGGGGUCGUCCCACUUUCAUGGUUCUACUACUUGCAUGUCAAGCCCAGGUAAGGUUCUUCGCGUUGCAUCGAAUUAAAGAACAUGCUCCGCUGCUUGUGCGGGCCCCCGUCAAUUUCUUUGAGUUUUAACCUUGCGGCCGUACUCCCCAGGCGGAUGACUUAACGCGUUAGCUGCGCCACCGGAACGCUAAGCGCCCCGACAGCUAGUCAUCAUCGUUUACGGCGUGGACUAC